rfam:Schistosoma rodhaini strain Burundi genome assembly, scaffold: SROB_scaffold0018611
AGCCAGCUGACGAGUUCUGAAUAGGGCGAAGCGCACGCCCUGUAU